AUAUUAUAAUUAAAAUAUUUUAAAAAUUCUAUUUAUUAUUAGUCUGAACUAAAAUAUAAUAUAAAUUUCUAUGAAUAGGUCUAUUAGGUCCAUUUUUAAAAAAAUCACACAUAAAUCAAAGUUGUGACUUCUGUUUUAAUAUAUAAGAUUCUCUAACCAAAAUUUACAAAAAAAAAAUAAUUAAACAAAUUUAUUUAAAAUGUAACUCAACGAAAUACGACCAUGACAAACGAUGAACAGUUUAACCUGAAAUAAUCCAAAAACUCCUAAAGUCUUGCAUCUGUAGUUAUCCGGCUAUAUUCAUGGAACAUAAUUUUGGUCAAGUGUUUAUUUGAAUGUUCAGAAGAAGUAUAACAGUGGAAAACCGCGUUCUUGAAUGAGACGAAGUCGAAGAAGUUUGACAUUUCCACUUUAUUUGUCCACUAUACGGUUGAUUUUGUUUGCUGCAAUCUGUAUAUAUACCCACUAAUGGUCGAGACGUGAGGGAAGAACAACAAAACAAUGACAAUGAAAAAAACACUUCAAGCGUUUCUUCUUUUAAGUUUGGUUCAUAUACUUCUAUGUGCAUCUUUUCAGGUUGGUGUGACAGAGGCUACAUUCCGUCACCUAGGUGUGGGUGCUGUGAAACAAACAUCAAUGAUAGGAAGACAAAUGAUAGCUGUAGGAGCUCCCCCGGCUCCUCAAGAUGGACAUGGCCGGUUCUGAUCACAGCUAGAAGAAACAUUUGUUUUGGUCUUUAAAUUGUAGAAAUCUAUUAUAUAUGGAUUUCAUGGUCCAUAUAUUGUCGAAUAUCGAAUUAAUUUUUUUGUUGAAUUUUAUAUAUUAAAAUAAAUAUAAAAACAAUUCCCUAAA